rnacentral:rRNA from 1 species
ACGGCGAGUGAAGCGGCAAAAGCUCAAAUUUUAAAGCUGACAUCUUCGGUGUCCGCGUUGUAAUUUUGUGAGGCAUCUCCGGGUAGGGCGCCGGCCUAAGUUCCUUGGAACAGGACGUCACAGAGGGUGAGAAUCCCGUGCUUGGCUGGCUGUCCCCGUCCAUGUGAGGUGUCUUCGACGAGUCGAGUUGUUUGGGAAUGCAGCUCAAAAUGGGUGGUAAAUUUCAUCUAAAGCUAAAUAUUGGUGGGAGACCGAUAGCGCACAAGUAGAGUGAUCGAAAGAUGAAAAGCACUUUGAAAAUAGAGUUAAAAAGUACGUGAAAUUGUUGAAAGGGAAGCGCUUGAGACCAGACUUCGGUAAGGGGUGAUCAGCCGUCCUUUUGGGCGGUGCACUUGCCCCCCUCCGGGCCAGCAUCGGUUGAGGCGGCGGGAUAAAGGUCCCGGGAAUGUGGCUCCUUCACGGGAGUGUUAUAGCCCGGGUGAAUGCCGCCAGCUUCGACCGAGGACCGCACCCGCAAGGGUUAGGAUGCUUGGCAUAAUGGUCUUCAGCGACCCGUCUUGAAAC